rnacentral:rRNA from 1 species
AGUGAACGCUGGCGGUAGGCCUAACACAUGCAAGUCGAACGGCAGCACAGUAAGAGCUUGCUCUUACGGGUGGCGAGUGGCGGACGGGUGAGGAAUACAUCGGAAUCUACUUUUUCGUGGGGGAUAACGUAGGGAAACUUACGCUAAUACCGCAUACGACCUACGGGUGAAAGCAGGGGAUCUUCGGACCUUGCGCGGUUGAAUGAGCCGAUGUCGGAUUAGCUAGUUGGCGGGGUAAAGGCCCACCAAGGCGACGAUCCGUAGCUGGUCUGAGAGGAUGAUCAGCCACACUGGAACUGAGACACGGUCCAGACUCCUACGGGAGGCAGCAGUGGGGAAUAUUGGACAAUGGGCGCAAGCCUGAUCCAGCCAGACCGCGUGGGUGAAGAAGGCCUUCGGGUUGUAAAGCCCUUUUGUUGGGAAAGAACAGCAGCAGGUUAAUACCCCGCUGUUCUGACGGUACCCAAAGAAUAAGCACCGGCUAACUUCGUG